GAUGAACGCUGGCGGCGUGCCUAAUACAUGCAAGUCGAGCGAACAGACGAGGAGCUUGCUCCUCUGACGUUAGCGGCGGACGGGUGAGUAACACGUGGAUAACCUACCUAUAAGACUGGGAUAACUUCGGGAAACCGGAGCUAAUACCGGAUAAUAUAUUGAACCGCAUGGUUCAAUAGUGAAAGACGGUUUUGCUGUCACUUAUAGAUGGAUCCGCGCCGCAUUAGCUAGUUGGUAAGGUAACGGCUUACCAAGGCGACGAUGCCUAGCCGACCUGAGAGGGUGAUCGGCCACACUGGAACUGAGACACGGUCCAGACUCCUACGGGAGGCAGCAGUAGGGAAUCUUCCGCAAUGGGCGAAAGCCUGACGGAGCAACGCCGCGCGAGUGAUGAAGGUCUUCGGAUCGUAAAACUCUGUUAUUAGGGAAGAACAAAUGUGUAAGUAACUAUGCACGUCUUGACGGUACCUAAUCAGAAAGCCACGGCUAACUACGUG
rnacentral:rRNA from 1 species